UAUUCUCGAUAUCCUUUAUCAUUUAUUAUUAUUAUUAUUAUUAUUAUUAUUAUUAUUAUUAUUGGCUAUUAUCUUUAUUUUUUAUUUUUUAUUAUUAUUAUUAUUACAUAUAAUUUUCAUAUCUGCUAUAACUGUAAUUUCAGGAUGAGGCAGCAGUAGAAUAUGCCACCUGAUGGGUUGUAUCAGAACCAUGUGCGUACCGGUAUUAAUCAGAGACAUGUAGUAAAAGAUUAUUUUUUUUUUAUUUGCCUUGGUCGAGUAUAACUUUUUGAGCUGUAAACAUUUGAUUGCCGGAGGAAAGUUCCAUGGUCGAGCGUUGCUCUCUGGGCGCCGGCUUUAUUGGAAAUCAAGUGACCAGACCGGAUUUAAAGACCUUAGUUGAGCUUUACUCUCUGGACGCUAGUCCUAUUGGUGUAAGAGAGUCGAAAGGCUGCUAGUAUUAGAGUUAGGAUUUUCCUGAGGUGACAGCUAGGUUUUCCAUCGUCUUUCUUUUGACAGCCUGGCUUCAUUCUCCUUCGGACCUAUUGUAAUUAAUUUCUACUUUUGCAUUUUGAAACUAUUUAAAAUUGUAGACUCUUCGCAAUAGUGUACCUAGCAUAUUAUAUUUGAAUUUAGUUUGUAACAAGUUAUAGAAUGUUUGCUAGUAUCCAGCUGGAGUAUUAAUCUAAUUAUGUGUAAAUUUGUGAAUGAA